rnacentral:rRNA from 1 species
GGAGGAAAGUAGGGGAUCGCAAGACCUUGCGCUUUUUGAGCGGCCGAUGCCUGAUUAGCUAGUUGGUAAGGUAAUGGCUUACCAAGGCAACGAUCAGUAGCUGGUCUGAGAGGACGACCAGCCACACUGGGACUGAGACACGGCCCAGACUCCUACGGGAGGCAGCAGUGGGGAAUUUUGGACAAUGGGCGAAAGCCUGAUCCAGCCAUGCCGCGUGAGUGAAGAAGGCCUUCGGGUUGUAAAGCUCUUUCGGUCGGGAAGAAAUAGUUGUGGCUAAUAUCCACAAUGAAUGACGGUACCGACAUAAGAAGCACCGGCUAACUACGUGCCAGCAGCCGCGGUAAUACGUAGGGUGCAAGCGUUAAUCGGAGUUAUUGGGCGUAAAGGGUGCGCAGGCGGUUGUAUAAGUCAGAUGUGAAAUCCCUGGGCUUAACCUAGGAAUUGCGUUUGAAACUACAAAGCUAG